rnacentral:rRNA from 1 species
GAACGAACGCUGGCGGCAUGCCUAACACAUGCAAGUCGAACGAGACCUUCGGGUCUAGUGGCGCACGGGUGCGUAACGCGUGGGAACCUGCCUUGAGGUUCGGAAUAACUCUCCGAAAGGGGUGCUAAUACCGAAUAAUGUCUUCGGACCAAAGAUUUAUCGCCUUUAGAUGGGCCCGCGUUGGAUUAGCUAGUUGGUGGGGUAAAGGCCUACCAAGGCGACGAUCCAUAGCUGGUCUUAGAGGANGAUCAGCCACACUGGACUGAGACACGGCCCAGACUCCUACGGGAGGCAGC